GAUUGGACUAGGUCGGGCGGUUUGGCCCCGCCCACUACCCGCAUUAUGGUCAUUAGCGGGGACCGAACACCGGGUGCGUCCGGUCAGACCGGUUCGGACCCUGGAAGCCGACGUCGAAGCCUCGUCCGACGGGGACGGCGGUUCGUAGCCUGCGCCUGCAGGGGCGUCUUGGCUACGAUUCGUCGAUGGCACCCCGUCAGGCACGGAAGUGAGCAGCGGACCAUCGAACGUACGUCGCUCGUCGGGUCGCGGGGUGGAGGAGGCGCCCGGGACUAUUCGGACUGGAACGGCGGGCAACCCCGGCCGUCCACAU
rnacentral:SRP_RNA from 1 species